rnacentral:rRNA from 1 species
UACGAAGGGGGGCUAGCGUUGCUCGGAAUUACUGGGCGUAAAGGGAGCGUAGGCGGAUAGUUAAGUCAGAGGUGAAAGCCCAGGGCUCAACCUUGGAAUUGCCUUUGAUACUGGCUAUCUUGAGUAUGGGAGAGGUAAGCGGAACUCCGAGUGUAGAGGCGAAAUUCGUAGAUAUUCGGAAGAACACCAGUGGCGAAGGCGGCUUACUGGCCCAUUACUGACGCUGAGGCUCGAAAGCGUGGGGAGCAAACAGG